rnacentral:rRNA from 1 species
AAUAUUGCGCAAUGGGUGCAACCCUGAUGCAGCCACACCGCGUGAAGGAAGAAGGUCUUCGGAUUGUAAUCUUCAUUGCUUGGGGCCGAUAAUGCCGGUACCUAAGGAACAAUCCACGGCUACCUACCUGCCAGCAGCCUCGGUAACACGUAGGUUGCAAGCGUUGUCCGGAAUUACUGGGUGUAAAGGGCGUGUAGGCGGGGGAGCAAGUCAGAUGUGAAAUUCCGGGGCUCAACCCCGGCGCUGAAUCUGAAACUGUUUCUCUUGAGUGCUGGAGAGGAAAGCGGAAUGCCUAGUGUAGCGGUGAAAUGCGUAGAUAGUAGGAGGAACACCAGUGGCGAAGGCGGCUUUCUGGACAGUAACUGACGCCGAGGCGCGAAAGCGUGGGGAGCGAACAGG